ensembl:miRNA
CAGGUGCCUUCUGUUGGCGACUGAGCAGGACUGUGUGUGACCUUUGCCUUCCCUCCAGUUAUUGCUGGGGCCUGGAGGCGGUAACUGACGGUCCACGCCCGGCCCCAGCUCUGCAUGGACCACUAGUAA